ensembl:lncRNA
GGGAGGUGCUACAGUCAGAGAGGUGUGUGUGUUUGUUUGGUUCUACAUGAAUGGGGGCGCUACAGUGAGAGAGGUGUGUGUGUGUGUUUGGGUUCUACAUGAAUGGGGGCGCUACAGUGAGAGAUGUGUGUGUGUUUGGGUUCUACAUGAAGGGGGUGCUACAGUGAGAGAGGUGUGUGUGUGUGUUUGGGUUCUACAUGAAGGGGGGCGCUACAGUGAGAGAGGUGUGUGUGUGUGUGUGUUUGGGUUCUACAUGAAGGGGGGCGCUACAGUGAGAGAGGUGUUUGUGUUUGGGUUCUACAUGAAGGGGGUGCUACAGUCAGAGAGGUGUGUGUGUUUGGGUUCUACAUGAAUGGGGGUGCUACAGUGAGAGAGGUGUGUGUGUUUGGGUUCUACAUGAAGGGGGUGCUACAGUGAGAGAGGUGUGUGUGUUUGGGUUCUACAUGAAAGGGGUGCUAGAGUGAGAGAGGUGUGUGUGUUUGGGUUCUACAUGAAGGGGGGC